rnacentral:lncRNA from 1 species
CUAAUUCCCUGAGAAUACAAGCAGUUUUGAAAGAAUAUCAGCAUAAAGCUGGUGAGUUCAUAAGCAUUUAGUUUUAGUGAGAAAAUGUUCUUUGAAUCCAUUUGAAAAGUGUUCUUCAAGAAAAUCCUGUAUUUUCUUAUGAAAAGCGGUCUUGAANGUUGUAUGAUGAUAAUGUUGGUGAUGAUUGUGUUUUGUUUCAUAUAUAUAUUCAUUGUGAUAAUACAAUUGUUAGUCACACGAGCCCUCGGACGAUUCCGUCGUCUGGUUUGAGGGUGUGACAGGUUGGUAAAAGUACGUCGUGAUUAAAUUUGGACGGGAAAGAAAUCACGAUUAUGAAUAUUUAUUGAGGUUUUCAGACAUUACCAAUAAAGAGCAGGUUUNAGUUUUAUUACUUAAAAAAAACAAAUGAAGAAGAGAGUCCGUAAACAAAGUUAGUUUUACUUAUUUGCAAGUCGUAUAACCAUACUUGAUAUGACCGAGAGACCUUUAUAACGUUCUUCAGGAGUUAAGCUAAAUGACAUUUGUUCACCAUAGGCGUGCCCGCCUAACUGUAGCUAGCAGUUCUGGUGUGGGAUUGUCAAUCCCGAAUAGAUCUAUUCACAAAUAUCAUGCUCUCCCUCCAAGAGACUCUGGUUAUACUAAAAGGAUUUCUCACUAUACACCUAAGGGUACAAUAUUGAAGUAGCGGCUCACAAUUCUGUAUAAUCUAGUUUACUAGCGAGAAAUCAGCAUAAAACAUUAACUAUCCUUGAAUAAAUGUGCUUUAUAUUUCUGAGAAAAAGAUAUAACAUNGCCCUUGGAUAAUUUCUUUUGAAAUGCCCUUCACUACCACAGAGGUAACAUGUUGAACUAGCCCCAACAUAGGUAUUCAGAGUGACGAACUUGACUAGGGUCCUACAUCUAUUGGAGGUGUGCCCCUUCCUGUUGCAUCUGGUGCAAUGUAGCACUNCAUAAAACAUUAACUAUCCUUGAAUAAAUGUGCUUUAUAUUUCUGAGAAAAAGAUAUAACAUAAACUAAAUCUACCAUAGUUUAUACAUCUUCUUUUAUGAAAUCUGAAUAAGUAGAGAUGCCUAGAGGGUUAUCCCAAACUAUACCCGUUAUAGUUUAUUAGAGUUGAUAUAGAGUUGCUUUGUAAAAACCUUUCUGAAAGCUAUGAAGUUAGAUUUCCAAAAUAGUAGUUUCCCUUAUGCUCAACAUAUUACAAAAAGAGAUAAAUAUCCGAAUAUGUUAUUAAACGUGGAAAUCGUUGGACUGCAUUAAUAAGUUUAAAACUUAAUAAAAUACUUUGAAUUUGGCUUGUAUUCCCCCUGAAAACAUUAAAAAUAUGGAAAAUGUAGGGGUAUGAACUCACCUCGAGUGAUUUGAAUGAAGGAUCAGCAUGAAAAGUUGGGUGUUCAAGUGAAGCCUUGAACAUGAUUUGAUCCUAAUUAACAUGUAGUGAUACAUAAAGGAGUCAAAUGAAGGUAUUUCACCACUACAUGUAAUGAAGAACCACUCUAGGAACUUGGGACUACUUGCACAAGUGUUAGGACCUUAAAGGAUUGCGUUAAGUGAGUGUAUGGCCACCUUUAAGGUGUGUGCGGCCAGGCUGUUUGUGUGGUUGCACACAUGAGUGUGCGGCCAGGGUGUGUGUAUGGCUGCACACGGGAGUGUGUGUCGGUACACUCUACGUUUAUGCUCCAAACGUCGAUUUUUAAGUGCUUCAUGGCUCAAACCAACUCUAACUAAGAGAUAGAGGGCCAAAACUCUCACUUUGGAGGGAUUUUGAGGUGUGUACGGCCACCUUAUGAAGGUGUGUGGCCAUACACCUUCAAGUGAUGAACAACACGAAGAACAUGAAGAGUUUCAGGCUUAGAUUUAGGUGUUUUACCUGUAUAACAAGCUAAAUGAUGGAAUUCUUCAUGUUUUUGAGGCCCUUAGAGUGUUCUUGGAUGAAGUUUUUAGAGAGGGAAAGUAGAGUGCAACCAAAUGAAAGGAAUGAGUGAAGGGAUCACCCUGGGUGUGCGGCCAUACACUCGGGUGUGUGGCCACACACUCAUGUGUGCAGCCAUACACUCGGGUGUGUGGCCACACACUCAUGUGUGAAGCCAUACACUCGGGUGUGCAGCCACACACUCAUACGUGCAGCCAUACACUCGGGUGUGCAGCCAUACACUCGGGUGUACGGUCACACACUCGUGUGUGUGGCCACACACUCCUUUUGAUGGAGUGUUUGGCCAAUUUGCAACCCUAAAUCUUAAACCAGCCCAUCCCUAAUUCAAACUUUGGUUGUACUCAAGGCUUUAAAUGCUUAAAUGAGCCCUUAAUCAGUGCUAGGAGUUAAUAACAAUGAGUUUAACUUAGAUUAACUGACUAGAUGUACCGGGUAGAAGUUUUCGGGUUGUCACAUCAUCCCCCCGUUAGAGGAAAUUUUUCCCGAAAUUCAAGAAUAAGAAUAUAACUCAUGGCCUUGGAAAAGAUGGAGGUACUUAAGGUUCAUGUGAAUUGCAAAUGUCUCAUCGAACUAACACUUCUUUAGAUUCGAUACGUGGGAGGGGGAAUGGAAUUUGCUAAGUUCUCGAGGUAACUGGAGUUCGUACGUUUACUGGACCGACCCUAGCAAGGAUCUCGGAUGAUCCAAUGUAUCUUGGAUUUAGCUUUCUAUACUUUUUGCAGCGUUUCUGGCCUUUCCAGGGUGAGAUCUUCAAGGGAUACGUCCACCAAUUUCAGGGCUUGUGAGGGUGUUGUUGGGGACUUAAGUCUUGACUAGAUACGUGUCGCCCACCUCAGCCCAGCAGAGAUUGGAGCUGUACUUAGGACCAUAGAGGGCUUCGAACGGUGCAACCUCGAUUCUGGAAAGGUCGCCGUUGCUGCAAGAAAAUUCGAUUAACAAUAGAUGUGUGUCCCAUGACACAUCUUCAAUUAUCCGGAUGGUUCUCUUACUUUGUCCUUCUCUUUGUGGAUGAUACUCUUCGUAUGAAUACUUUCGGGUUUUGAAGAGAGAUGAAUUCUUUGAAGUUCGCAUCUGGUUGUUGUCACGAGCGAUGGGAGUUUCGCGAUCGAACGAUUUAAGACAAAAGGGUUUGGUAUAACAUAGAAUCAGUCGAACUAAGCGGGACGACGUCGUAGAGUCGCACGUUAAGUUAGUUUGGAAGGAUCGCUUUGUUAGAACAUUAAUGCCCCGGGGUGUAUGUCUCUGGUGUUUGUUGUGUUUGAUUCGAGGUUAAUAGGUACUACUAACACGAGGGUUCUAAUGUUUUGAAACUAUGAACUUUCAUGAAAUGGUUCUUACUAUAUCUCUCUAUGAUCAUUUGGUGCCUACAAGUCAUGUAUAGCUACAACUGACCCUAGCGUAUUCACUUAAGCUAUCAUGAUUUGCUUAUUAGGGCAUCAACUUUUAAAAGUACGUCGUGAUUAAAUUUGGACGGGAAAGAAAUCACGAUUAUGAAUAUUUAUUGAGGUUUUUAGACAUUACCAAUAAAGAGCAGGUUUCUUUGAUGCUUCCUCAUUCCUUGAGGUUAGACUCCUCCUGUUCCUCAUUGUUCUUCUCUGUUGGGCAGUCUCUUUUGAAAUGCCCCAUAUCGCCACAUGCACUGCACACUUGAACUAUGCUAGCAUCGGUAGUGGAAGUGAUGUAUUGAGUCGGGGUCUUCGCUAAGCGAGCUUCCUUGCCAUCCUUAGCCCUUGGACAAUUUCUUUUGAAAUGCCCUUCACUACCACAGAGGUAACAAGUUGAACUAGCCCCAACAUUGGUAUUUAGAGUGACGAACUUGACUAGGGUCCUACAUCUAUUGGAGGUGUGCCCCUUCCUGUUGCAUCUGGUGCAAUGUAGCACUCGAUAGACUCCAUGAUGAUGGUAGUUGCAUUUGCUGCAGUGCGGGAGGUUUCCGAAGUAGGGUGUGGUUGGUGUUGGAACAGUAGGGCUGACUAGGGUAUUGACUGCCCCAAUUCGUUGCCUUUCAGUAGGUCCUUGGGUUGAACAAGUUCCUUUGAACUUUCGUUUUAAGAGGUUAGGUUGGGGAUCAACGGUGUCCUUUCCAGUAGGCACUUGUUGUUGAGGUUGGUUAACACCAUGGUUUGGCCUGCCAUUAACACUUCUACUCGCAUUUGUGUUGUUAGCAUUAAGAACAGCUAGGGCGGCUACUACAGCUGCUGUGACAGUAGCUUGGAACGUAGGUGAGUCCAUCUGGAGGAUUGGGGCCUUACCAGUGGGUUGGUUCUGCUUCUUCGGAGGCAUGAUCUGCUAUGUGUCAAGAAAAGAGUUUGUGAACAACAAUGGUUGCCUCUGGAUGUAUCCUAAACGUUUAUCUAUGCACUAAGAUUUCUCGUUUUUUAUUCGACCCACAUCCCCAUGAUGUGGUCCUAGCAAGAAUAGAAAAUGAUUUGAACGCAAUAAAGUUCACAUAUAAUAACUUACAAACUUCUUGCAAUUCAGCUCAUUGCACUAGUUGGAUAACUCUCACAUUUUCGUCGGCUCUAGACGAUAUGGAGAUUUAGCUAUAAGGAUUGUUCCGGGGAUCGAGUCAAUGCAGGAUUCAACUAGACACUCAGAAGAAAUCCCUUGAAUGUCUUUGGGGAAGACAUCAGGAAAGUUGCAGACUUCGGAGAUGCUCUCGAGGCCUUUAAGUUUUUGCGUCUCAUCAACAACAUAAGCCAAGAAUGCAUGGCAUCCCUUUUUCGCAGAUACUUCUAGACUCUGGCGCAUGAAAUGAUACGAAGGUUUGAACAAAUUCUAUCACUAUGACCAGUGAGGACUUCGUCAGCGGGAAAGAUUGAAACGAAUCGCCCUUUCGAAGCAAAGGACAUCAGCACGAUUUAAGCUCAACUAUCUGAUGCCGAUUAUGACGUCGUAGCGUGUUAUGGAGACUGAUAUGAAAUCGAUGGGGAAAAGGAAUGAUCGUCUUAAGGUAAGAGUACUUCUUAUGACACAUGCUUCUAAGACGAAACGGUAGCAUGGCUUUGAUAAAGUUGCUUAAUUUUCAUGCUAUUGUUCUAAGGUAUACUUUUAAAAGAGAUCUUCUUUAACUGAAAUAUGGUUGUUGCCAUCAUAACUGAAAUGGAGAUUACCCAUAUUUCGGAACCCUUGACCUAAAACUAGGUCUAAGUUAUUCUAACAGGGAAAGAAUCUUGGCAACAUGAAGGACAGGGAUGUUUAUAGAGAAGAGCUACUUAGAAGUUAGAACAUAGAUAUGAAGGUUAUUCCUUAGAUAAAAAAGGAAGGAUGAGUAGAGUAUUAUCCUAUCAGCGAUGGACACUCCUCGAACGGAUCCUUAAGUUAGCCGGCUCGUGCUCCAUGUCAAGCAACUGGCUCUCGUAUACUGUCCGGCGUGCUCGGAGCUCUAUGAGCUUAGCUCUAUUGGUAGCUAACUCUCGAUGUAGGGCUUCAUUGUUCGUUGCAGCUCCCGCAUAAGCAAUCUCGAAGCAACGGAUGCGGUCCGUGGUGGUGUUCGAAUCAGCUUCGAGCUGGUGACUUGGUUUAGGUGCAUAUGAGGAAAGAACGUUUUCCUAACAAAAGGAAGAACAAAAGUUGAUGCCAAGAGCUGAAGGUCCUUACAAGCCUUUGUAAUUGGUUCAUGGUCUGAAUCCUUACAAGCCUUUUUAUUUGAUUCCAUUUCCAAAUGAUGAAUUGGUUCACAAGGAUGCUAAUGACAAGUAGAAGGCCAUGAUGAAACUAUACCAACAAGCUCGUGUGAAGAUUGAAUCCGUGAAUGACAUGUACACACAAAAUUCUAACAUGUAUAAGAAACCACGUGUCUUUCAAGUUGGUGACUUGGUUUAGGUGCAUAUGAGGAAAGAACGUUUUCCAAACAAAAGGAAGAACAAGUUGAUGCCAAGAGCUGAAGGUCCUUAUAAGCCUUCGUAAGUGGUGUAUGGUGUGAAUCCUUACAAGCCUUUGUAUUUGAUUCCAUUUCCAAAUGAUGAAUUGGUUCACAAGGAUGCAAAUGACAAUUUGAAGGCCAUGAUGUAACUACACCAACAAGUUUGUGUGAAGAUGGAAGCUGUGAAUGACAUGUACAAACAGAAUUCCAACAUGCAUAUGAAACCACGUGUCUUACAAGAUGGUGACUUGGUUUAGGUGCAUAUGAGGAAAGAAUAUUUUCCUAACAAAAGGAAGAACAAAAGUUGAUGCCAAGAGCUGAAGGUCCUUACAAGGUGGUGACACAUGUCAAUGAUAAUGCUUAUAAGGUGUAUCUGGGACGAGACCAUGGAGUGCAUGCUACCUUUAAUGUGGGAGACCUUUCAUGUAUCUUGUUGAGGAUGGCCUUGAUGAAUUAAGGUCAUUUCCUUUCAAAGAGGGAGGGGUGGAUCCAUGCAUGGCUCAUGAAAAGCCGAAAAAGGUGAUGGAUUAGUGAUUACUAGUAGGCUAGAAGGUGGUUUGUACUCAAUGGUUGGGUUGUGCAUGGUAACCUCUGUAUUGAAUUAGGGUCGCAUGAAGGCUAGGGCAACAUUUUAAAGGCUUAAUAAGUUCUCAAAACCAUUACUUUUGGCUUCAUCAAGCCUUUUAGCCAUUGUUGAUACUCUUCGGUGGAUUUGGGUUACAUUUUAAUGCUUCUUUUUGCUCCUUAAUGGAGCACGAACGCUUUUUUCAUUCAUUNNNNNNNNNNNNNNNNNNNNNNNNNNNNNNNNNNNNNNNNNNNNNNNNNNNNNNNNNNNNNNNNNNNNNNNNNNNNNNNNNNNNNNNNNNNNNNNNNNNNNNNNNNNNNNNNNNNNNNNNNNNNNNNNNNNNNNNNNNNNNNNNNNNNNNNNNNAGAGUGUCUAUUAGUAGAAAAUAAACCAUCAGUUUUAGAAAAACAUGUUAUCCAUCCUAAAGGUAGAGAUGCCAGUUUAGAAGUCCUUGAUUUCUAACAACAUAUAUAAAAGUAGUUUUAUUACUUAAAAUAAAACAAAUGAUGAAGAGAGUCCGUAAACAAAGUUAGUUUUACUUAUUUGCGAGUCGUAUAACCAUACUUGAUAUGAUCGAGAGACCUUUAUAACGUUCUUCAGGAGUUAAGCUAAAUGACAUUUGUUCAGCAUAGGCGUGCCCGCCUAACUGUAGCUAGCAGUUCUGGUGUGAGAUUGUUAGUCCCAAAUAGAGCUAUUCACAAAUCUCACACUUUC